rnacentral:lncRNA from 1 species
AUGCCGCCCACACGGCUUUCCAGAGGCUGCUGGGAUCCCCUCCCGUGGGCUCACGGUGAGCGAGGGAACAGAGGCUGGGGGUGCAAGGGUGGGUCACACAGCAAAUUACCCAAGUCAUGUACCAACAGACAGGCUGGAGGGCCCUUCCGGAUACAGCUCGCAGAGGCGGCCCUGGGCCCUCAGUCCUGCCCAGAACACAGCUCCCAGAGGCGGCCCUGGGCCCUGGGCCCUCAGUCCUGCCCAGAACACAGCUCCCAGAGGUGGCCCUGGGCCCUGGGCCCUCAUUCCUGCCCAGAACACAGCCCGCAGAGGUGGCCCUGGGCCCUGGGCCCUCAGUCCUACACAGAACACAGCUCGCAGAGGCGGCCCUGGGCCCUCAGUCCUGCCCAGAACACAGCCCGCAGAGGUGGCCCUGGGCCCUGGGCCCUCAGUCCGGCCCAGAACACAGCCCGCAGAGGUGGCCCUGGGCCCUCAGUCCUGCCCAGAACACAGCCCGCAGAGGUGGCCCUGGGCCCUCAGUCCUACACAGAACACAGCUCUCAGAGGCGGCCCUGGGCCCUGGGCCCUCAAUCCUACCCAGAACACAGCUCGCAGAGGCGGCCCUGGGCCCUCAGUCCUGCCCAGAACACAGCCCGCAGAGGCGGCCCUGGGCCCUGGGCCCUCAGUCCUGCCCAGAACACAGCUCGCAGAGGCGGCCCUGGGCCCUCAGUCCUGCCCAGAACACAGCCCGCAGAGGCGGCCCUGGGCCCUGGGCCCUCAGUCCUGCCCAGAACACAGCCCGCAGAGGCGGCCCUGGGCCCUGGGCCCUCAGUCCUGCCCAGAACACAGCUCGCAGAGGUGGCCCUGGGCCCUGGGCCCUCAGUCCUACACAGAACACAGCUCGCAGAGGCGGCCCUGGGCCCUGGGCCCUCAGUCCUGCCCAGAACACAGCUCGCAGAGGCGGCCCUGGGCCCUCAGUCCUGCCCAGAACACAGCUCACAGAGGCGGCCCUGGGCCCUCGGCCCUCAGUCCUACCCAGAACACAGCUCGCAGAGGCGGCCCUGGGCCCUCGGCCCUCAGUCCUGCCCAGAGCUCGCCCAGCCCUGGACUCUGGACUCAGGUCCAACACUGUCCAAAGCCCAUAGGCACACGGUUUCUUCCUGA